rnacentral:rRNA from 1 species
GACGAACGCUGGCGGCGUGCCUAAUACAUGCAAGUUGAGCGCUGAAGGUUGGUACUUGUACCAACUGGAUGAGCAGCGAACGGGUGAGUAACGCGUGGGGAAUCUGCCUUUGAGCGGGGGACAACAUUUGGAAACGAAUGCUAAUACCGCAUAAAAACUUUAAACACAAGUUUUAAGUUUGAAAGAUGCAAUUGCAUCACUCAAAGAUGAUCCCGCGUUGUAUUAGCUAGUUGGUGAGGUAAAGGCUCACCAAGGCGAUGAUACAUAGCCGACCUGAGAGGGGGAUCGGCCACAGUGGGACUGAGACACGGCCCAAACUCCUACGGGAGGCAGCAGUAGGGAAUCUUCGGCAAUGGACGAAAGUCUGACCGAGCAACGCCGCGUGAGUGAAGAAGGUUGUCGGAUCGUAAAACUCUGUUGGUAGAGAAGAACGUUGGUGAGAGUGGAAAGCUCAUCAAGUGACGGUAACUACCCAGAAAGGGACGGCUAACUACGUG